rnacentral:lncRNA from 1 species
ACAAUGAUGGGGGGGACAAUGACAAUGACAAUGGCAAUGACAGGGGGGGACAAUGACAACAAUGGGGGGGACAGUGACAGGGAGGGGACAUGGAGGGGACAAUGACAAUGACGGGGGGGACAAUGAAUGGCAAUGAGGGGACACGGAGGGGACAAUGACAAGGAGGGGACAAUGACAAUGACGGGGGGGGACAAUGACAAUGACAAUGAGAGGGAGGGGACAAUGACAAUGGCAGGGGGGGACAAUGACAAUGACAAUGGCAAUGAGGGGACACAGAGGGGACAAAGAAGGGGGACAAUGACACAGAGGUGACACAGAGGGGACACAGAGGGGACAAUGAGUGACACCAAGGUGACACAGAGGGGACACAGAGGGGACAAUGAUGGCACAGAGAGGACAGAGAGGGGACAAUGAGUGACACCAAAGGGACAGAGAGGGGACACAGGUGACAGUGACCCCGAGGGGACAGAGAGGGGACAGUGAGUGACACAGAGGGGACACAGAGGGGACAGAGAAGGGGGGACAAUGACACAGAGGGGACACAGAGGGGACAAUGAGUGACACCGAGGGGACAGAGGGGGGACACAGAGGGGACAAUGAUGGCACAGAGGGGACAGAGAGGGGACAAUGAGUGACACCAAGGGGACAGAGAGGGGACAGUGAGUGACACUGAGGGGACAGAGAGGGGACAAUGAGUGACACAGAGGGGACAAUGAAUGACACCAAGGGGACACAGGGGGGGGACAAUGACACCGAGGGGACACCGAGGGGACACAGAGGUGACAAUGACCCCGGAGGGGACACAGAGGGGACAAU